rnacentral:lncRNA from 1 species
CUGUCACGCCCAUUAUCCUCCGGUGCCUCGGCUCAAAUGUCACUAAGUAACUUACACACGAGAUGAAAGGAGCGGCGCGCGGAGCGGGAGCAAAGCUAGGCGUAGAGUAGAGAAACUUCACCUAAAGUAUCGAUCCGAUACCAAUACUAGCGUUGAUUACGAGUGAUCCUCCCACACCUGUCGUGAAGCUUUCGGGAGUAAGCUGCUGGAUUCACUCUUAUGAAUGAUCAGAUGGUGAGAGUAUUUAACACCGGCCUGUCAGCAAUGACCUGAACCCGGACUCCAGCAUUUCUCAUGACACGAUCCUCUGAGAGAUCUGCCUUUACAUGCUGAGAUCCGAUGGAUCCAUGUCAAGAUCCCGAGGGUCCUGUGUUUCAGGGAUGGGAUGGGCCUGCCUUCUCAGAGCAGGACUAUCUGGAUUUAUACACAGCCCUUUCUGACUCCGCAGCCGAUCAGAGGAAUCAGGAGCGGGUGAAGAAUGAGGAAAGCGCUGCAGGAUCAGAGCUGAAGCAGCCUGUUACACACCGUGACGGCGUGAGCAUGGACGCUUGGAGCAUCACUUUAAUUGAUUCCACACAAGGCAGUAACAGCAGAACUGCUUCGCUCUGCAUGUCAACAUCGCAACUGCUCUCAGAAUACAGGCUCAAUCGUGACAAGGUUGACUCGAGCGUGGUGUGGGCCCGCGUGGCUCCUGUGCACGUGUCUCUCCUGGAGUCUGCUGAACUUCUCUUCAAUGUGUCUGUUCCCUGGCUGCCCGUGGAACUGCCGUACAGAAGCAGAUGUAAGUAUUACAGAUGAUAUACAUCAGGUUUGAGCUUUAAGCACUUUAUUUUCACAUUAUUUUCUCAGUGA